AUUCUCUCUCUCUCUCACACAAGUCUAAGAGAUUUCAAUUUUACGUUAGAGUGAUCUUAUUUGUCUUUUGUUUCCUAUCAGGUUUUGACAUGUUGAUUUGAGAUUGAUUGUCUGAAUAAUUUCAAAUUUGUUUGCCUGUUAUGAUCUUCUAUCUCUGUCUCUUGUUUUUUUUUUUUUUUCAAUCUGAAUUAUGUGUUCUCAGAUCAGGAUUUGACAUGAUCUUUUGAAAUAAAUAGAGGCAGAUGGAUUUUAGUUGUAAAUUACCUCCUUUUGAGUGACUUUUUUUUUUUCUGGUUUUUCGUUUCCUUGAAUCUGAACUAUAUGUCCCAGAUCAGAAUUUGACAUGCUUCUAUGAAAUUAUAUAUCAAAUAUGAAUGAUUUUAAUUGUAAAAUAGCUGGUUUCAAGUGAUCUUCUAUCUUUCUAACUUUUUAUUUUCUGUGGCACAUGCUUCUUUUUCCUUUUUUUUUUUGAGCAAAAGAUGGCUUGCACCCACCUUUUUAUCACGUUUCCUGUAUAGAUCUGGAAAAGUAUUUCACGUCUCAAUGAAUUUAGUUGUAAAUUGCCUACUUUGAAGUAUUUCUCUCUCCAUCUUUUUUUUUUCGUGAACCUUUUUUUUCUUGUUUCUUUCAAUCUAAAUUUGCUGUGACCAGGAAUUGACACGUUGUUUCAAAUAACUCCAAAUUUGUCGUUCAGUGUUGUCAUUUGCUUCCAGUUUUAGACAAGACAAACAAAAAAUGGAAUAUAAAAAUUGAAUUGUUUGAGCAUGAAAUGUUUUUUCAGUUUAAAAGGCCGAGAACUCGGAGGAAGAAGUGAAGUGGUGAUGUGAAUUUCUUUCAAACUGCGAGGAUGAUGAGAAGCUAUCCAAAGUUAGAGUCAACAAGUUAUCUCAUGACAGCAAACUUUAGCCCAACCAUGAUGUUGAGAUGUCUCUCAGGGUUCGGUGGUGUAUCUUAAUUGGGCAGUUCGUCUGUUCAGUAAAAUUUUGUGUUAAAGUAUGUUAAAAAUGGGUCAUAUUUUGGAUUCGCAAGUUGCUAACCUUGUAGAUUUUUUUUUCCCAGAGUAAUAGUGUGAAGUGGUCGAGACUUCUCCCUCGGAUGAUAUUCUCUGAAUGUUCAGGACUUCCUCACAAUUAACGUGUACUAUCUGUUGUUGGAGUGGUGUUGCUUUUGCUGUUUUAAUAUCAUUCCUUCUAAAUAAGUAAAACAUUAUUCUUAAAUUUUAUGCUUAAACUAUGGAAUAUUUUCUAACUUUUUAGGAUAAUUCGUGACUACGAAAUUUCCUUAUUUUUGAGGAAUUUCUAUAUCGAUUGUUCAUGUUUAUCUUAAUUGGAGGUUACAUUUUAUACCAUUACUUUUAGCUAAUGCACUAUCGUUGAAGAUUGGGUGAGAAGAACUGGGGUGCUCCCAAGGGUAAGAGCCUAAGAAUGAGGUUUCAGUGCAUGGACGUGGUGAUAUGGAAUAUGUUUAGGAUUCAUUUUAUCCUUUUUUUUCUUUCUAUCCUUUCACUGCCAAGAAAAGACUUGGUACUAAAUAUCGACUGGUCUGUGGGCUAUUGCUAUCCAGAUGUGGAAAGUGCUCAGCUUUUGGUUCUCUGAUAACUGCAACAGGUGCUGCGAGAGAAGUAAAAGGUUAGAGAAAAGGGAAGAAUGUGAGAUAAAGAGGAGGAAAUACAUGUGAAUCAUCUUUUAAAAGGAGAGUCUAUCAUGGGUCACAAGCACAGACAGAUUGGAGGGUUCAUGACAUGAGAAAAUUAAAAGAACUCUUUUUAUUAAAUUUGAAUAUGUUGCAUAUAUAGUAUUGGCAAUCUUUUGUCCAUUACUUUUUUUUUUUCUUUUUCUUUUUUUUAUUUCCAUUAUUUGACAAACAUGGGUGUCCUUUAUGGUCAUGUUGGGGAACUCUUUUAUAGAAUUGUGCUCCAUUGCUAACUUCAUACUGCUGGCAUAAGAAAACUUUGGUAUAAUAUUUUUUGAUAGAAUUCUCAUCAAAAAUAACUUAGCUAAAAGAGGAUGGCAAGGAGAUUAAACUGUGUGUUAUGUGAUGGAAAUUUUGAGACCACCGACCACAUUUUUUUUCUAAUGCUCUUUCACUGGAAAGAUAUGAUCGUUCUUUCAUGACAUGCUGGGUUUCAAGAUGUUGCUGCAUUCACAAACCUUACUAUGGAACAAUUGGAGAUCAGAAGAACCAAUGCACUCAUCAAGAAAAAGAUUAGACAUCCUGUUGGCGGCAGGAUUCUGAUGCUUAUGGAAGAAGCGCAAUAGGCGAAUCUUUGAGUUUCACGCUUUUCUCCCUAGAGCUCUGAUCUAACAAAUUGGUAGGCUAUUCAUGCUGUGGAUAGCGCAUGCCAAAGAUGCUGAAUCCGAACAAAUACAGAGAAUUAAGAACUCUGUCAAGGAGAUGCUAGAUAGGCCAUUUAGCAGCACAUGACAUUCAAGCUAAAGGGGUUUGAAAUGAUCAUGGCUAUGAUCAUAUAAUAGAAUUCUUAGAGGCCGAGAAUAGGAUCCAAAUGUCUUCUUUGGAGGAGGACAUACAGACUGCACUGUGAAUCUCUGGCUACUCACGUCAGAUUCUACCAGAAAAUGAAAUUAUGAGAACAAGAAGAAGCAAAUUUCAGAGCAGGUCAAUUACUGCUUUCACUUACAACCACGUCUGUUUAAAAUCUGUAACGCUGAAAAUCUAAAAUCAGUUUUUGCAACUGUUUCUGAAACCCGUAUGAAACUCAUCAUCAGAACCUAGAACUUUACCUUGUGUGAAAACACAUAUGAAUAUGCACGACUCAGUAUCUUAAUAUAAUUUACCUUGAGUUAGGCUUCUCUAACUCAAUUACAU